AUGGGGCACAGCCGUGCAACAUGUGCGCUGUGCCGUGRGCAUGGCUGUGCCAAUCUGGCCAAGCCCCCCAGCACAGCCAUACUGCAUGGGCGCUGCUCCAUGGGGCAGGGCUGUGCUGAGCCAUGGGGCACAGCAAUAUCGCAUGGGCACUGCUCCAUAGGGCAGGGCUGCACUGAGCCCUAUGGCACGGCCGUACCCCAUGGGUGCUGCUCCAUGGGGCAGGGCUGCACUGAGCCCCACGGCAUGGCCAUACUGCAUGGGCACUGCUCCAUGGGGCAGGGCUGCGCUGAGCCCCACGGCAUGGCCAUACCGCAUGGGUGCUGCUCCAUGGGGCAGGGCUGCACUGGGCCAUGGGGUGCAGCCGUGCCCCCCGUGCUGGGCCGCAUGGGUGCUGCCGCCAGCGCCUCUCCUCCCCUCCAAGGCUGCAGCUGCCCUGGCGGCGGCGGGGCCCCUCAGGGGGCCGCUGCCCUGUUUACACCCCCCUCGGCCCCCCGGCUCGUUUACAGGCGCUUCCUGCCGCCGCUGCUCUCCGGCUCGCGGCCCUUCCUCCUUCCCUGCUGCCUCGCGGUGCCUUUCCGCCGAGCGGGGGGCCGGGCCGGGCUGGCGGCCCCCUCCACCCGGCCAUCGCUGGUGCUACCUCUGACCGUGCAGUAUUGCGGGGCCGCCGCGAGCAGGGGUCCAGCCUGCCGCCCGCCUGUGCGGCGCCGGCCUCCUCCUCCUCCUCCUCUUCCUCCCGGGGGCCCUGGAAAGGGUGCUGCUCCCGGGGGGGGGAGGGAGCCGCUGCAGCCCCCCGUGCCCGGGCACUGCCUGGGGCCCCCCGGGCUCUCUGGUGCUGUAUUUCCCCCCCCCAUCUCUGCCCCGGCCGGUGCGCGGGGGCCAAGCGGGGCAGGGGCAGGAGGGCCGAGUGGGGUGCCCCGAGCGGGGGGGCUGCGGUGCCCCUGUGCGUGCGGUAGCUGUAGGCGCUGCUCCCGCGGGCGCGCUGCCUGCCCCAGCGGAGGGACGGCCCGCCUCGCCCAGCGCUCAUCUCUGUGCCUUGCACGCGACACCCGGGCCGCGGGGACCCGGCGC
rnacentral:lncRNA from 1 species